rnacentral:rRNA from 1 species
AUUGAACGCUGGCGGCAGGCCUAACACAUGCAAGUCGAACGGUAACAGGAAACAGCUUGCUGUUUCGCUGACGAGUGGCGGACGGGUGAGUAAUGUCUGGGAAACUGCCUGAUGGAGGAGGAUAACUACUGGAAACGGUAGCUAAUACCUCAUAACGUCGCAAGACCAAAGAGGGGGACCUUCGGGCCUCUUGCCAUCGGAUGUGCCCAGAUGGGAUUCGCUUGUUGGUGGGGUAACGGCUCACCAAGGCGACGAUCCCUAGCUGGUCUGAGAGGAUGACCAGCCACACUGGAAGGGAGACACGGUCCAGACGCCUAAGGGACGCAGCAGUGGGCAAUAGUGCACAAUGGGCGCAAGCCUUAUGCAGUCAUGCCGCGUGUAUGAAGAAGGCCUUGGGGUUGUAAAGUAGUUUCAGCGGGGAGGAAGGGAGUACAGUUAAUACCUUUGCUGAUUGACGUUACUCGCAGAAGAAGCACCGGCUAACUCCGUG